AUUCUUUUGUAGUUCAUGGCGUGAUGAUUGGGUUUUCAUGCGCAUGCGUGAGAUUUGCCUCCCACAAAUCUUGUUAUACAUGGGCACCUUACCUGUCUGACA